UGGGGAAUCUUAGACAAUGGGGGCAACCCUGAUCUAGCCAUGCCGCGUGAGUGAUGAAGGCCUUAGGGUUGUAAAGCUCUUUCAGCUGGGAAGAUAAUGACGGUACCAGCAGAAGAAGCCCCGGCUAACUCCGUGCCAGCAGCCGCGGUAAUACGGAGGGGGCUAGCGUUGUUCGGAAUUACUGGGCGUAAAGCGCACGUAGGCGGACUGGAAAGUUGGGGGUGAAAUCCCGGGGCUCAACCUCGGAACUGCCUUCAAGACUAUCAGUCUGGAGUUCGAGAGAGGUGAGUGGAAUUCCGAGUGUAGAGGUGAAAUUCGUAGAUAUUCGGAGGAACACCAGUGGCGAAGGCGGCUCACUGGCUCGAUACUGACGCUGAGGUGCGAAAGCGUGGGGAGCAAACA
rnacentral:rRNA from 1 species